AGUUGGGUUUCUUUUUUCCCUGCAAAGUUUAUAGGCUUUAGUUACACAACAAAAAAAUUAAAAAGAUCUCAGAGAGAUUAUGUUACUCAACCCCUUCUCGUUUUACAGAUGAAAAGCAGGGGGUCAGAGAGGGGAAGUAACUUGCAUGGGUGAAAGGGAGCUGAUAGGAGAAGGCUGGUCUUGUGAUCCAGUUCCAGUGUGCCAGUCUGAUUGUCAACAAUUAUUAGGUAGCACCAUUUCCAGGUGUCUCCUUGCUCAGUUUCAAUAUCACCUUUUCUGUGAACGCUUCUCUGACUUGUCUGGCUGUUGUUAGUAAUUGGGGCUCCUUUCUCCCACAGAGCUUCCUAAGUGUCAGUCCCUGUGCAGGAUCAAGGAUGCAGUGAUGGGCAAGAGAGCCUCACUGUGUUGUAUCCCUGCCCUCUUGGGCGCACGCAUUUUGCAGUCAUAACACUAGUUACAAAUAAGUAUUUGUGUGUCCACUGUUUCCAACAGAUUUUAAGCUUUCAAAAGGAACAAGCACACAUUACUCACCUUUGCCUUCCUUGAUUUUGUCUUGACAACACUCAGGAAGUGUGCUUGAGUGUUAAAAUAAGUGCACUUAGUGUUCUUAUCUAGGUUUCUAAGCCUGAAAGCCAAUUUCAAUUUGGCAGGGAGAGUUGCCUUUGAAAGCACAGAAUGGAAAAUGUUCCCUAAUGUGAACACAGAAACUGCAGAGGUAAGGAUGGGGCCAACACCCUGCUUCUAGGUUUAAUAGCCCUGCUUUACUUAGAUUAAAAGUUGAUGUCAUAUAAUUAACUUACUAUUUAAAGAGACACACUGAUGGCGUAACCUUGCCUUCCUGAGUCCUUGGAAAAGUGUGUCAUCGGUUGUUAAAACAUUGAAACUUUUACUAGGUCAUCAGUAUUGAAAAGCUGAACAGCUAGGUUGGAAAUGUCUUUAAUGGGCAUAACCAAAAGAGCACACUUAAUUGUGAAGAAAGUUUAAAACUACCUUUAUCAAUGAAUGAUAAAUAGAAGGGGAUCUUGGAGAUCUCUUAAUCUAUUGGAUUUAUUUUAAUAUUGGGAAAUAGAGAUCCAGAGAGAUGAGUGACUUGCUGAAUGUCCCAUUGCCAGUUAGUUAGAUUCAGGAGAAAACUUCAGAUACCUUGGUUUUCUGUUUAGUUUAUUUCCACUCAUUCUAUAAUUCUCAAACUAUUCUUCUUCAAAAUAAAAUAACAGCCCUCUUUCCAUUAGCAGGGGAAAAAACUGUUUUUGUAUGGCUUAAUGAUUCUCAAUCUGAUCAGACUCAAAGUUUUAUUUCUAUAAAAUUCUAUAGAAACGCUUUACUAUUCUGAAAUGAAAUUCAUAUAUAUAACAUAAGCUACUUACACACUUAAUAAAAAAUAAAAUGAAUUCUAAUGCCAAAUGUAACAUAAAGGAAAUGUUUAAUAAAUGUCUAAUGCAAUAACACAUACUGUGUUGUGUAAGAUGCUCAGGUAUGAAUGUACUGGAAAACGUAAUGAGACAUUCAGAUGCUUAUUCUUCACACCUCUACGUAAAAUUGUAGGAUCACUGUGAAUGAGACAACUACAAGUGCAGACUGAUUUCAGGACCACCUGCCAAACUGGUGUCCCAUUUCUCAGGCCCGAGCAAAGACUCUCAGCAGUCUGAGAAACUGAUCAGAAACCUGAAGCUGACAGCCACCAAAGCCUCCAGAGAGCUGAGGGCAACCUGAAACUGCAGAAUGGUCACUUGUGAAGAUCCUGAUGGUCCUGCAGAGGAGGACGGAUGGCCUUCCUUUGGAAUGGACAAGAUCAUGAAUCUCUAACAGUUGGUGGACCAGGUAGCUGUCUUCCAGAUUUCUAGACAUAGAUGAUUAAGCACUUCCAGCAGUGUAUCCAUUUGCUGAAGCAUCUCAACUGGUAUUCCGUUAAUUCCUGGAGCCUUUUUCUCACCAAUGCCUUCAGUGUAGCUUGAACUUCCUCCUUCAGCACAGGUGGUUCUCAGUCACAUGCUACCUCCUGAAAUGGUUAAAUGUCAACCAGUUCUUUUUGGUACAGUGACCGUGUAUUCCUUCCAUCUUUUUUUGAUGCUUUCUGAUAAAUGAAGGAAAAAAUCAAAGUGUCAGUGAUUUCAUUCCACCUGGGUCAACAGCAAUCAAGAAAUCAAACAACAUACUGCAUUGGGCAAAUCUGCUUCAAAAGACCUCUUUAAACUUUUAAAAAGCCAAGAUGUCACUUUUAUGACUGCGGUGAACCUGACCUAACCCAUGGUCUUUUCAGUCGUUUGCAUGUGCGUCUAAAACUUGGGGAAUGAAAAAGGAAGACAGAAUAAAAACUUAUGCAUUCAAAUUAUGAUGUUGUUGAAGAAUAUUGAAUAUUCUGUGGACUUCCAGGAGAACAAACAAAUAAGUUUUGGAGGCCAUACAGCCAAAGUGCUCCUUAGAAACAAGGAUGAGGAGACUUCGGCUUGCUUACUUU